ensembl:lncRNA
UAUGUGUAUAGGCACAUCCCCUUUCAUGUUCAUGUGUGUAUGCAUGUGUGCCCCCCCCCACCUCAUCCUUGGUCCCAACCCUGCUGACAGACAGACACUAAUACUUAGCCAUCGGCCCUUUUACCAGUAGGCUCCCCUAGGUAUAUAAAGGUGGCCAUUAUGACCAUAAAAUAGUUCUUUUAUAGUAUUUGAGAGCUACAAUGACUACAGACUCUUAAAAAUGUACUUUAUAAUUAUCUUUAUUGAUCCCUUGGAUCCUGCAACAAUAAUCACUAGGGAACCAAUUUAUAUUUAACAAAAUAUCCCAAUUUCUUUUCUUCUCUUUGGGCUACCAUGACCAUGGAACCUGGACCAAUAGGAAACAACUAAACCUAUAAACAAAAUAAUACAAAUAAAAAAUUAAUACAUAUGUACAUAAAUAUAUAUAUUAUUUUAUUUUCAAAGCCUCUUGAACUCAGGGUUACCAUGACCAUGGACCCUUGACCAAAAGAAACAAUAAAAUAGAACACAAAUAGACCAAAUUUAAACCAGACCCAUCGGCUCAACCCUCCCAGCCCCCUUACACACGGGAGACUCACGUAACGCGCUGGACCACUAUCUACCCCAGAUUAGAUCUGGAUUGGCAGUAGGUUCAGUAGCGCGUGUUUCCUCCUAGCGGGUUGGGAUACCCAAAAGAGGGGCUUUUGGGUUAUGCGCUGCGGCUGGAGGAUCGCGUCUGCCGAAUAACCCCUGGGGUGCCCAGAUAAUGUCUGGCGAGGUAUCGGACCCCACAGAAGAAUUUCCCACUGGGGGACCCCCUACCCCGCCGUACUUAGCCUGGACAACCGAACCAUUUUUUUUACCUGGACUACGAACCAAUUCACUGUCUAGGGAUGAUAUACCUCUGGAAACGUUACGAUCCUGGAAGGGAGUAAUUCCACUGGUCACUAUUACCCAAAACCACUGAAUUACCUACCACUGAGAUGGUGGGGAUGGAAACACCCAAUUAACUUCUACUACUGCCGGACGUUUCAUACGUAAGCCAGAGAAGGUUUGCCGGUUUCUAAACCCUCCAUACACCGACCAAAAACACAGGACGUGACUCCAGGGGCGGAUGCAUGACAACCGUAUAGAGGGCUCGCCUUCUGGGUUUUUGUCUGCUCAAACCACUGGCUGUUAUAGACUGACCACUUGACAGGGACACAUGGCAACCGACUGAGGACCGGACCUGCACAAGGUACGCAACUCAAGGUCUUUGCCUGAUCCUAAGUUGAGUUGACAGACCUACCUAAACUUAACCUUUUCUAUACCUUACCCUAACCCUAACCCUAACCC